GGCGGACGGGUGAGUAACACGUGGGUAACCUACCUAUAAGACUGGAAUAACUCCGGGAAACCGGGGCUAAUGCCGGAUAACAUGUUGAACCGCAUGGUUCUACAGUGAAAGACGGUCUUGCUGUCACUUAUAGAUGGACCCGCGCCGUAUUAGCUAGUUGGUGGGGUAACGGCCUACCAAGGCGACGAUACGUAGCCGACCUGAGAGGGUGAUCGGCCACACUGGAACUGAGACACGGUCCAGACUCCUACGGGAGGCAGCAGUAGGGAAUCUUCCGCAAUGGGCGAAAGCCUGACGGAGCAACGCCGCGUGAGUGAUGAAGGUCUUCGGAUCGUAAAGCUCUGUUGUUAGGGAAGAACAAAUGUGUAAGUAACUGUGCACAUCUUGACGGUACCUAACCAGAAAGCCACGGCUAACUACGUGCCAGCAGCCGCGGUAAUACGUAGGUGGCAAGCGUUAUCCGGAAUUAUUGGGCGUAAAGCGCGCGUAGGCGGUUUUUUAAGUCUGAUGUGAAAGCCCACGGCUCAACCGUGGAGGGUCAUUGGAAACUGGAAAACUUGAGUGCAGAAGAGGAAAGUGGAAUUCCAUGUGUAGCGGUGAAAUGCGCAGAGAUAUGGAGGAACACCAGUGGCGAAGGCGGCUUUUCUGGGUCUGCAACUGACGCUGAUGUGCGAAAGCGUGGGGAUCAAACAGAGAUUAGAUACCCUGGUAGUCCACGCCGUAAACGAUGAGUGCUAAGUGUGAGGGGUGUUCUCCGCCCCUUUAGUGCUGCAGCUAACACAUUAAACACCUCCGUCCUGGGGAGUACGGUCGCAAGACUGAAACUCAAAUGUAUGUGACGGGGACGCGCACAAGCGGUGGAGCAUGUGUUUUAAUUCGAAGCA
rnacentral:rRNA from 2 species